rnacentral:lncRNA from 1 species
GACCUACCGCCGGUUAACUGAAUGCCUCAACAAAGGAAACCUGUUGCAAAAAACCUGAAAAAGAGCCAACAAUCACUAGCAAAAAUAUUGCAGUAAAGUUACAAGACAUUAGACUAUAGUGCACCAAAACUACAAAUAGAAACUAGGAUCAGGGGCCAUAAUAAGAGACAUUAAUGCACCUAAACCACAUAUUUUAAUAGCAAGACAUUAUUUCACAAUCCACAUCCACAAUUUCCAUCUAAUUGUGGAAGGCAACCUGAUCUAUUUCUAAUUAUUCAAUAUGCAGACCAUUAAUACUAACACCAGUGAGCUACAUAACACACAAAGAGAUGAGAAAUUUAAAGAAAAAAGUCGUAGCCAAAGCUCACUACAAAGAAAAGUCUUAGCAUAAAAAAACUCUACAAUAUAAGAUUAGAAAAUGAAAAUAAUCAUAACUGCUACUACAUAGUUGCAAUACGGUCCCACUUCAAUGGCAAAUCAAUGUAGCAUCUUAAUUAUGAUAGCUUUAGAAAUUCACUUACUCUUCAAAAUACAUGUAAAAUGCUAUUAUUUGUAUUCAUUAUUCCCACCAAUAUGCAAUAACACACAGAGUUAUCUUGCAUAGAACAAAAGGUGAAUACUAAGAAUCAAAAGACACAUUGUUCUUACCAAACACCAAAAUAUAAUAAUAAGCCAAAUUAUGAACAAUUUAUCAACAACUUUAACAACAAUGUUGAAGAUUUAUGUGCUAAUCUUAAGAAAGACAUUUUUUCUGCUCAAACUUCAACCCUCACAGGGUCUCUCAAUUCAGUUUUGACAAUCUCUUCCACAACAUGAGUUUGAGUAGCAAAGAAUAAGUCAGUUCAUCGAAGAUUGGACGGCAGAUUUAUGAUAACAUUUAUCUGCUUCUUGAAUCCCAUAUCUAAUAGUCUAUCAACUUCUUGAAUCAAGUAUUAUUUUAUAAAACAUGACCAAAUAAAUCCUAAUUAAAAAAGUUGGGCAUCAAAUCAAAUUUAAAGCAACCCUAAAACCCAAAAUCACAAAUUGGCAGCAAAUCAAAUUUGAAGGAACACAUAAAUUAAAAACCCCAAAUCGUAAACCCUAAAAUUCAAAAUCAAAAAAUUACCAACAUAAAAUUCAAUAUAUAAAGAUGGGUAUUGUGAUUCACUAACCUUUCUCAAUGGAUUUCUAGUGAGAAUUAAGACUAUGAACUGAGCGACCAAGAUUCUGAGAACUCAGACGCGGCGACAGAGAAAGAUUGAGAGCGUGACAAAGGUUAUGGUAGGGGAAGAAUAACGAAGAGUGAGAGGUGAUGGGGCUUUCGAGAAACAUGGAGAGGUUCUGCAAUGGGGUUUUGAUAG